GACGAACGCUGGCGGCGUGCUUAACACAUGCAAGUCGAACGGAAAGGCCCUGCUUGUGUGGGGUGCUCGAAUGGCGAACGGGUGAGGAAGACGUGAGUAACCUGCCCUUGACUUUGGGAUAACGUCAGGAAACGGGGGCUAAUGCCGGAUAGGAACUCCUGCUGCAUGGUGGGGGAUGGAAAGUUUCGGCGGUGGGGGAUGGACUCGCGGCUUAUCAGCUUGUUGGUGGGGCAGUGGCUUACCAAGGCUUUGACGGGUAGCCGGCCUGAGAGGGUGACCGGCCACAUUGGGACUGAGAUACGACCCAGAGUGCUACGGGAGGAAGCAGUGGGGAAUAUUGCACAAUGGGCGGAAGCAUGAUGCAGCACCGCCGCGUGCGGGAUGACGGCCUUAGGGUUGUAAACAGCUUUCGCCUGUGACGAAGCGUGAGUGACGGUAAUGGGUAAAGAAGCACCGGCUAACUACGUG
rnacentral:rRNA from 1 species